rnacentral:rRNA from 1 species
CAGUAACGGCGAGUGAAGCGGCAACAGCUCAAAUUUGAAAUCUGGCCCUCUCAGGGUCCGAGUUGUAAUUUGGAGAGGAUGCUUCGGGUGUGGCCCCGGUCUAAGUUCCUUGGAACAGGACGUCACAGAGGGUGAGAAUCCCGUACGUGCCCGGUGGCCGCCCCCGUGUGAAGCUCCUUCGACGAGUCGAGUUGUUUGGGAAUGCAGCUCAAAAUGGGUGGUAAAUUUCAUCUAAAGCUAAAUAUUGGCCAGAGACCGAUAGCGCACAAGUAGAGUGAUCGAAAGAUGAAAAGCACUUUGGAAAGAGAGUUAAACAGUACGUGAAAUUGUUGAAAGGGAAGCGCUGGCAACCAGACUUGCGCAGGGUCGAUCAUCCGGUGUUCGCACCGGUGCACUCGGCCCCGUGCAGGCCAGCAUCGGUCUAGACGGUUGGAUAAAGGCCUUGGGAAUGUGACUCUCUUCGGGGAGUGUUAUAGCCCAAGGUGCAAUGCAGCCCGUCUGGACCGAGGACCGCGCUCCGGCUAGGAUGCUGGCGUAAUGGUUGUCAGCGACCCGUCUUGAAACACGGACCAAGGAGUCUAACAUCUAUGCGAGUGUUUGGGUGUCAAACCCAUGCGCGUAAUGAAAGUGAACGGAGGUGAGAACCCUGAAGGGUGCAUCAUCGACCGAUCCAGAUGUCUUCGGAUGGAUUUGAGUAAGAGCAUAGCUGUUGGGACCCGAAAGAUGGUGAACUAUGCCUGAAUAGGGUGAAGCCAGAGGAAACUCUGGUGGAGGCUCGCAGCGGUUCUGACGUGCAAAUCGAUCGUCAAAUUUGGGCAUAGGGGCGAAAGACUAAUCGAACCAUUAGUUGCUAGGUGGUUAAGAGACGAUCGAGAGUGAGUUUAGUGGUAAUCGCACCGCAACACUGUCAAAUUGCGGGGACGUCCUGCUGAAGUAUAGCUACCGCCUCUGCGUAUCGAAAGAUCGAGAGUGCACCAGGUUAAUGACCUCGGGUAUGGUAAUAACGCUAUAUGGAAGGAUAACCUGCAGCCAAGCCCUGUAAAAUGGGCGCAGUUCACAGACUAAAUGUCAGUGGGUGAGAAGAUGACUUCUUGCUUAAGUUAUAGUCGGUCCCCUAGGUAACUAGGCUGAUUAGAUGAAGCUUAUAGGGGGCGAUCUUGCUCUGCAAGCCCUGUUUGCCCAAGCUAAUUGGGGGCACUAUAUAUCAUAUAGUAGCCUGGGAUGAGAACAUAUAGUGAUGCUCUACAAGCAUGAUUCUAUAUUUCUCGAAACGCUAGUAGCUGGUUCCUGCCGAAGUUUCCCUCAGGAUAGCAGUGUUGAAUUCAGUUUUAUGAGGUAAAGCGAAUGAUUAGAGGCCUUGGGGUUGAAACAACCUUAACCUAUUCUCAAACUUUAAAUAUGUAAGAAGUCCUUGUUACUUAAUUGAACGUGGACAUUCGAAUGUACCAACACUAGUGGGCCAUUUUUGGUAAGCAGAACUGGCGAUGCGGGAUGAACCGAACGUGGAGUUAAGGUGCCGGAAUGUACGCUCAUCAGACACCACAAAAGGUGUUAAUUCAUCUUGACAGCAGGACGGUGGCCAUGGAAGUCGGAAUCCGCUAAGGAGUGUGUAACAACUCACCUGCCGAAUGAAUUAGCCCUGAAAAUGGAUGGCGCUUAAGCGUACUACCCAUACUCCGCCGCCAGGGUAGAAACGAUGCCCUGGCGAGUAGGCAGGCGUGGAGGUCCGUGACG